AUAAAGAUAGGAUCUAUUUUAUUGACAGGAUUUAUCACUACUUUAGCUACUUUAGCAGCUUGGCCAAUUACACGGAAUUCGUGAUUAUUCUAUUUCCUGAUGCUCGCUAUGUAUAGUGGUCAAAUAGGAUUAUUUUCUUUGCGAGACCUUUUACUAUUUUUUAUCAUGUGGGAGUUAGAAUUAAUUCUUGUUUACUUACUUUUAUCUGAGUGA
rnacentral:rRNA from 1 species